CCGCCCAUAGCUCAACUGGCAGAGCAGGUCCCUCUUAAGGACAAGGUUCCAGGUUCGAUUCCUGGUGGGCGGAUCA
rnacentral:tRNA from 1 species